GGCCUGGUCACAGCAGGUUACGAUGCACUGUGUCAUCCGGCACACCAGGCAAUUUCCUUUUUGAGUCACUUUUCAGCUAAGAAUGAAUCAUGCUCCACCCUCCUUUUCAGCCCUUUAUGCUUGCCGGCUCUGCAGCCAAGAUGGGAGGGAGGCCAUUUCCUCUCUGCUGAGAGCAGGUCAGCAAGGAAGCUCCUGAGAGUGCAGCCCUUUCCCUGCUGGGCGGAAUCUGCAGGAGAAUGCCUGGUCCCCUUGUAAGGUGGCCCCUCCAGGAGCGGGGUGGCCAGCCCCAGAGCCUUCUACCACCUGGAGGCAAACCCUGAACCUGGAAAGUGAGAGGCGGGGCCAGGCCAUUUGCUAGUAGAGAAAUGUAGGAAAGUUCCUUUUCUGUGUGUGUUUUCUCUUGACUUUAAAAAAUCAUAAGCUUGCCCAUGGAGCUUUUGUGAGAGGAGAGAUUUGACCAGCUCUGUGCCUGCCCCCUGGGUCCUUAGCUGGUCGCUUUGUGCUUUGUCACUAGAAAAGGAAGAUGUAUCUAAAUCACUAUCACUAGAUUUGGCCAAUGGAAUUUUUGAAAACGUUUUCCAUUUUCUCAUGGUUUUGAAAAGUCUAUACUUACCAAGAAUUUGGCUUUAAGUUGUUGUUUUGUUGUUGGCAACUUUCUUUUGUUCUCUGUUUCGUUUAUCAACCUAUAGAAACAGGUCAAAAAUUAAAUGACUCCUUAUACAAGGCAAUUAAAGACAUGAAUGUGGGUGACGGACUCUGAGCAGAGAGCCUUUGCGAUUCUCUGGCAGGAAGGAAGAAGCCGCGGGUGUGGCGGAGAUGCAGAUGCUUCGCAUCUGUGACUGCUUGCAGAGUCCUUCCUUUGAGCCAUUGCCCCCUGCUGUUAUUUUGCCACCUCAUCCAAGAUGCCAAGAACUCUCAGGACAAGGCUCAAGAUAAAAACAAAAGAUCAGAGCUGAGCACACUCUCACACACAGGCACACACAUGAGUGUGCACAGGAUUCCGAAGCCUCCAGGAUUGACUCUGAAGCAUGCAGGCAGAGGUGUGUUUGUAUGGGGAGGUACGGAUGUUGAACUGAGCAGCACCUCCUUUCUUGUGAUCUGGCCAUUUGUCUUGAAAGAACCAAGAAGAGACAGGCCUGAAUCCCGGAGCCAUCAGAGGACCCCAAGCAGCAGGGGCUUGCUGGUGGAACAAAGGGCCUUCUGACAUGUGUGAGGGCUGUGUUUUGUCGACUAGGUAUCACAUUCCAGCCACAGCAUGACAGACAAAUGUCAGGCCAGAUGAGGAGAUGCAAUCUGCUCGACCAAAUGCAUCUUUACCUGGCUCAUGUGAUGGGAGCAGAUGCUGACUCAAUACGGGUGCAGGUGCAGAAAAAAAAAGGAGGAAAGCCCAGACACUGAGGCAUAGUGCUGUGAAAGCCCAGAGCCUCCAGGGAGGCUCACUUUUCCACAUUAUUGAUCCAAACUUCUAUGUGUCAUAGAUCUUGUCUGUGCUAUACCUUGUUGAAGCUUUCUGGCAGAGGAAGCCUGAGGGAAUCUUUGACAUCUGGAAACUGAAGGCCAUUAUACAAAUACCAGUCUUUCUACUCCCCUCCUUGUGAGAUGGACCUGAAGAGUCUCCCAUCAUUUGUGGCUGCCACAUCCAUCCUUGAUGAUAGGACUGUAUUUAUGCUGCUGGGUGUCUUUGGAAGGGUGCUAAGGGGAGACUGCCUCAGUUAGGCAGGGCUGG
rnacentral:lncRNA from 1 species